rnacentral:rRNA from 1 species
UAAGGGCGCACGGUGGAUGCCUUGGCACUAGAAGCCGAUGAAGGACGUUACUAACGACGAUAUGCUUUGGGGAGCUGUAAGUAAGCUUUGAUCCAGAGAUUUCCGAAUGGGGAAACCCAGCAUGAGUUAUGUCAUGUUAUCGAUAUGUGAAUACAUAGCAUAUCAGAAGGCACACCCGGAGAACUGAAACAUCUUAGUACCCGGAGGAAGAGAAAGAAAAUUCGAUUCCCUUAGUAGCGGCGAGCGAAACGGGAAGAGCCCAAACCAACAAGCUUGCUUGUUGGGGUUGUAGGACACUCUAUACGGAGUUACAAAGGACGACAUUAGACGAAUCAUCUGGAAAGAUGAAUCAAAGAAGGUAAUAAUCCUGUAGUCGA